UCCGGAAUUAUUGGGCGUAAAGCGUCCGCAGGGGGCACUUCACGUCUGUCGUCAAAGACUGGGGCUUAACCCUGGAAAGGCGGUGGAAACUGAAGCGCUAGAGUGCGGUAGGGGUAGAGGGAAUUCCCGGUGUAGCGGUGAAAUGCGUAGAGAUCGGGAAGAACAUCGGUGGCGAAAGCGCUCUACUGGACCGCAACUGACACUCAGGGACGAAAGCUAGGGGAGCGAAUGGG
rnacentral:rRNA from 1 species